rnacentral:rRNA from 1 species
AUUGAACGCUGGCGGCAGGCCUAACACAUGCAAGUCGAACGAGUGGCGGACGGGUGCGUAAUGUCUGGGAAACUGCCUGAUGGAGGGGGAUAACUACUGGAAACGGUAGUUAAUACCGCAUACCAUCGGAUGUGCCCAGAUGGGAUUAUCUAGUAGGUUGGGUAACGGCUAACCUAGGCGACGAUCCCUAGCUGGUCUGAGAUGGUGACCACCCACAAUGGAACUGAGGCACGGUCCAGACUCCGACGGAAGGCAUCAGUGAGGAAUAUUUCAGUAUGGGCGCAAGCCAGAUGCAGCCAUGCCGCGUGUAUGAAGAAGGCCUUCGGGUGGUAAAGUACUUUCAGCGGGGAGGCGUUACCCGCAGAAGAAGCACCGGCUAACUCCGUGCCAGCCGCCGCGGUAAUAC